rnacentral:rRNA from 1 species
GAUGAACGCUGGCGGCAUGCCUAAUACAUGCAAGUCGAACGAGAGGAAGGAAAGCUUGCUUUCCUGAAUCUAGUGGCGAACGGGUGAGUAACACGUAGGUAACCUGCCCAUGUGCCCGGGAUAACUUCUGGAAACGGAUGUUAAAACCGGAUAGGUAGCAGACAAGCAUUUGACUGCUAUUAAAGUGGCCUUGGCCAUGAACAUGGAUGGACCUGGGGUGCAUUAGCUGGUUGGUGAGGUAACGGCCCACCAAGGCGACGAUGCAUAGCCGGCCUGAGAGGGCGGACGGCCACAUUGGGACUGAGACACGGCCCAAACUCCUACGGGAGGCAGCAGUAGGGAAUUUUCGUCAAUGGGGGGAACCCUGAACGAGCAAUGCCGCGUGAGUGAGGAAGGUCUUCGGAUCGUAAAGCUCUGUUGUAAGAGAAAAACGGCACUCAUAGGGAAUGAUGAGUGAGUGAUGGUAUCUUACCAGAAAGUCACGGCUAACUACGUGCCAGCAGCCGCGGUAA